CUAAGAGCUGCAGGAUUGGGAGUGUCGAGAGAAAAAUACUAUUUCCUAACUCUGUCAAUAAUGGUCGAGAUGGGUAAUUGGUUAUUUCCGAUGCCACCCAAUCCUUUGGUUCUUAU
rnacentral:pre_miRNA from 1 species